rnacentral:rRNA from 1 species
CCUUUAUGUCCAGGGCUUACACACGUGCUACAAUGGCGAUACAGAGGGAAGCAAGGCCGCAAGGUAGAGCUAAUCCCUAAAGUCGUCCUCAGUUCGGAUUGCAGGCUGCAACUCGCCUGCAUGAAGUCGGAAUCGCUAGUAAUCGCGGAUCAGCUACGCCGCGGUGAAUACGUUCUCGGGCCUU